rnacentral:rRNA from 1 species
AGGUUUCCGUAGGCGAACCUGCGGAAGGAUCAUUA